GCAAACGUACUAUUUCAUUGCCAUUAGCUUCAUAGAGCCCUUUCGAACUUGAAUGUUAGAAUGGCUGCUAAACAAUUGUCGGCCUCACUUUGUUCUUGGUUUUAAGCAAUCAAGAACUAGUUCUGUUAAUCGAUGACCUAGGGGUUUACAACAGCAUCAUUUAGCACCAAUUCGCUUAUCGUUUUGCUUUCGUGUUUUUCUGGGUUGAUAUAUUCUAAUAUUGCUUUAUCUUUCUUGUGACUUAAAAUGGUUGAAACAAGAUUGAAUAUAGGUAAGGUGGCCUCUAAUACCACUGCGGAAAUAAUGUUGCCCUUACCAAAGGUGGUGACCUCCCAUCAACGGUUCAAAACUGAGGAACCCUCCUGAUGGGAACA
rnacentral:misc_RNA from 1 species